rnacentral:snRNA from 1 species
GUACUCGCUUCAGCAGCACAUAUACUAAAAUUGGAACGAUACAGAGAAGAUGUACAUGGCCCUUGUGCAAGGAUAACACACAAAUUCGUGAAGCGUUCCAUAUUAAA